rnacentral:rRNA from 1 species
CAGCCGCCACGGUAAUACGGAGGGUGCAAGCGUUAAUCGGAAUUACUGGGCGUAAAGCGCACGCAGGCGGUCUGACAAGUCAGAUGUGAAAUCCCCGGGCUUAACCUGGGAACUGCAUUUGAAACUGUCAGGCUGGAGUCUUGUAGAGGGGGGUGGAAUUCCAGGUGUAGCGGUGAAAUGCGUAGAGAUCUGGAGGAAUACCGGUGGCGAAGGCGGCCCCCUGGACAAAGACUGACGCUCAGGUGCGAAAGCGUGGGGAGCAAACAGGAUUAGAUACCCCAGUAGUCUGUCUCUUAUACAC